UAUAUUUGCGGCUUUUAAAACUACAUAAAAAUUAUUAAAUUGAUAUUGGCAUG
ncrna:unclassified sequences S15-Flavobacteria ribosomal protein leader